GCUCAAAGGAGAAUAGAUAUUCUUUACAACAACAAAACAAGGUAACUUGCAAAAGCAAUGCCAAGAAAAUAUGGUAACAUCUAUUGUUCUCAAAUUAAUUGGUUCUCUUUAGUCUUUCUGCUCUUUUAAACUGGAGCCAUUUUUAUUUUUUUUACAAGCUCUAUUCUGGUCUUCCUGUAUUAUGUCUCUUCAAUGGUAAUUUCCUUGUUUACGCGAACUCUGAUCUGUAGAUCUCAGACAUGAGUACAGAAAAACUGCAAAGGCAUGGGGCAAAGCAGACUCAGUAUUACUCAUGUAUUAGAGACCAUGAUUCCUAAGGACUUCUUAAAUUGCCAGAGAAUAGGGUAGGUGCUGACUGCAAAAGCAAGUAGGUAUCUUGGUUGAAUUGUGAUAACGAAUGAUCUUUUAAGAAGCUACUUGUAACUCUUUUUGCAUAUACAAUGUUUACAUCAUCAACCCUUUUUGCAAUUACAAUUUUAAUUUUUUUUUUUGUGCCACAACAUUAAUUGGGAAUGCAUGCUCAUGAUUGUAUCAUAUACAGCUUGCAAGGCACUUGAUAUAGGAGAUGUAGAGCUAUUAUUAUAGCUUGCAAAUGUUUCAAGCGAAUUAAUCCUUGUGUUUAGUUCCUGCCCAAACUCCACCUGUUAGUUACAUACAUGAAACAGGAUUUGUAAAGCUGCCUCCAAAUAUCUGGGACAAGGUUAUGACGAUUCUGAUGAUGAUAUGGUUCCCACUUGUGCUCAAUUCUCAUCCAAGAUGAGCUGCAACUAUAGAUGUCUCAUAUUUCAUUCUUAAAAAAGUUGUCUCAUAUUUUUUGUCCUACUGCGUGCAUAUGGAAUAAUGGAUGGCUCACCUGAGAUGGUACUACUGCUUCUAUAAUAAUUUUUUUUUUAAAUGUAAUGGAUGAUGGCUUGUGUAUUGUUACUCUCAGCCAAUACUUAAGAAGUUUUGUUUCACGAGCAGCACAAUAUAUGCUUUGUGACCAAGAUUUUUAAUCACAACUUGAUCUUCAAGAA